UCGAGGAUCUUCGGCAAUGGACGCAAGUCUGACCGAGCGACGCCGCGUGCGGGAUGAAGGCCUUCGGGUUGUAAACCGCUGUCAGUGGGGAGGAAAUUUAUAGGGGUACUCUUCUAUAAUUGACCGAUCCGCAGAGGAAGUGUGGGCUAAGUUCGUGCCAGCAGCCGCGGUAAGACGAACCACACAAACGUUAUUCGGAAUUACUGGGCUUAAAGGGUGCGUAGGCGGCGCUAAAAGUUGGGUGUGAAAUCCCUCGGCUUAACCGAGGAACUGCGCCCAAUACUGUAGUGCUUGAGGAAGAUAGAGGUGAGCGGAACUUAGGGUGGAGCGGUGAAAUGCGUUGAUAUCCUAAGGAACACCCGUGGCGAAAGCGGCUCACUGGAUCUUAUCUGACGCUGAGGCACGAAAGCUAGGGUAGCGAACGG
rnacentral:rRNA from 1 species